rnacentral:rRNA from 1 species
AACAAGGUUUCCGUAGGUGAACCUGCGGAAGGAUCAUUACCGAGUUUUCGGGCUUCGGCUCGACUCUCCCACCCUUUGUGAACGUACCUCUGUUGCUUUGGCGGCUCCGGCCGCCAAAGGACCUCCAAACUCCAGUCAGUAAACGCAGACGUCUGAUAAACAAGUUAAUAAACUAAAACUUUCAACAACGGAUCUCUUGGUUCUGGCAUCGAUGAAGAACGCAGCGAAAUGCGAUAAGUAAUGUGAAUUGCAGAAUUCAGUGAAUCAUCGAAUCUUUGAACGCACAUUGCGCCCCUUGGUAUUCCGGGGGGCAUGCCUGUUCGAGCGUCAUUACAACCCUCAAGCUCUGCUUGGAAUUGGGCACCGUCCUCACUGCGGACGCGCCUCAAAGACCUCGGCGGUGGCUGUUCAGCCCUCAAGCGUAGUAGAAUACACCUCGCUUUGGAGUGGUUGGCGUCGCCCGCCGGACGAACCUUCUGAACUUUUCUCAAGGUUGACCUCGGAUCAGUUAG